GUCUCUAACACUGUAACCAAAAUGCAGGUAUCAGGUCUGUGUGAAUGGUUCUAUGCUUUUUUUUGCAGGUAAAUGUAUUAACACUUCCAUUGUUUAACACCUCCAUCAUUUGUACUGCAAACUGCCCCCAUGGUUUAACCCCCCCUCCCCUCCCAAUUUGCCUGUUACUCCCUGACAUUUAUAAAUAAUAAGUGGUAAAUAAGGGUCUGUUUGAAAGGAGGUCAAAUUAACGUAAUAUUUUGUAUACGUAGGCCUAACUUGCCGCAUAUUCCGUCUGAAAUGUGUAUCAGCUAUUAGCAAAACGGUGCACUCCUUUAGGAACAGGUGAAGGCCUGGCGCGCACAUGGGCACCUGCGCACCUUGUUAUUACCGCAACUGCGUGAACACAGACAGCGAGAUGCUCAGCCAACAAUCACAUUCCAACUCUCCCUCCGUCCCCGGGUUCCCAGUUCGAGUUUGUGUUGCCUGUUCUAGCUCAUUUCCACUCGCUGUCGUGUUUGUUAGCACUCGUCAGUAUUUGGGCGACAGACAGACGGGGUGUUUUUAGGGAACUCUUGAGUGAAGGCUUAAUUUCAUCCCUAAUUUCUUGAACCCUGCUAUCGUGGUUUUCAUGCUUGUCCAACUCUUGAAUGUUGACUAAAUCGUUUAUUAUUUUAGGAGGACGUCCAACUGCAGUGUGAUGGUGACUGACUUGUGACAUGCCUCGCAUUGUUCCAUGGACAAUAAGUCUAUAGGGAAAUGAAUGGAAUGUUUAUGGAGAAGUUCCGCUUAAUUCUACUGGAUCCAUGGGUAUUAUGACCAUUCAUGUAUUUCAAGUUUGCAAGUUAGGCUAUUUAUAAUACACGAUGACCGUCGGCUAUAGGCCUUAGAGGGAAAACUCCACCCCAAAACUAUCUUUUGGUAUUUGUUUCAUUAGUCAAUUGUUGAUAUAUUCCCAAAAUGUUUUGCAUGUCAGCAAUCACGUUUUCAAGAUAUAUAACUUUCAAAAUACAGAAAUACAACUGGUAUUAUGCAUCAUACUGGCUGUAUUUUGAACGUUCUAUAUCUUGCUGACAUGCAAAACAAUUGGCUAAUGAAACAAAUAUAUUUUCUUUAACAUUUAUUUAAAUACCAAAAGGGUGGAAUUUUCCUUUAAGUUGUGAGAUGGGAGAGAUCCACGCCCUUACAGAAAGGGAAACAUGGACUCUACUUAGCAACAGCGAUAACCUUUCCUGACAACAAAUAAUUCUUGUCAGAAUGAUUUCAAAAAUAUAUAUUUUAAGUUGGGCGAAUCAGCUGUUUGAGGACAAAUUUCUUAUGUAUAUACUAAUUUUCUUCAUUUCAAAUCAAAGAUGACCCAAACUGUUUACUGUUGUUUUGCCUCCGUAAUUCAAUUAGCUUGUUGGUUAGAUGGAAUUUUUUUUCUUCUGCAUGUCAGAAACGGAAUGAUAAAAAUCUAUUCUCACACAAUGCAAAAACCAUUUGCUACAAGGUUAUAAACGCGUUAUUCGUCGCGGAACACAUUUCCCUAAGAGAAUAUGUUUGUUGUUUUGUACAUGAUUCAUUACAUUUAUUGUCGAUUUAAAAAAUAUAUAAUCGCGCGUGUCCUUGUGUGUCUAGUCUUAGGACCUACUUCAGGAUUCGAGAAGUAUACGUCAUUAUGUAUGGUAAUCCAAUUAAAACACGAUAACCCAGCACUGGCACUUCAUAUUGUAUUCAUUUUCUUACAUUCAUGACAAGCGUACUUGCUUUAUGUGAAAGAAGGAGUCAAGGACACUUAUCUCAAGAGAUACUAUGGUCUAUACAGCCUCUACUUCAAAAGUGUGAAAGAAUUGCCACAUUGUCCAUACACUAGUUAAGCUUUUGAGGUGUUUUUUCUUCUUUGAUGUCAUGUUUUCGUUUAAUACAACCGUUUAAUACAACACUUUAAAUUAACAUUAAGGUUACCUUUCAUUGCUCAUUUUGAUUCACAAUGUCAACAUAUGCCUGCAUGUAAAGUAGACCUGCUCAAUUGUCCGUGUUUUUUUGUUGUUUGCAAAAGCAAUUGUUCUCAGUGUCAAUACAACACUUGCACUUAUUAUUGUUCGUUUCCGUUCACGUGUAACAUGGUGUUAUGACAGCCCAGGUAUGCAGCUCUACUAGUUAUAGAUAACUGACGGGACAGAAUGAACAAAUUGUCCCCUGUAUUUCUAACAUACCUCAAUUCAUUAGAACGGUGAUAGGCUACUCUUUACACGAACACUUGCUACAGCAGCCUACAGUUGUCUGUGUGAGAAAGUUGUACCGUUGUGGAACGUCAAAAUGUAGACUCCAACGAUGUGUUAAUGUGAGAGGGUGACAUUUUCGGGGGGCUAAAAUGGGCAGUGCAGUUCAUUUAAUCAAUUAAUUAGGCAUUUAAUAAUGACAAAAACAAUUUAUUGCAACAUUAUUGACAUAUUGCAAUAUUUGAAAUGUUACAUCUAAAUAGCUGUGAAAUGACUUUGUGGACCAUGUCGCUCGGGGACUAACUUAUUAAUAUUUCGUUGCAAGUAAGCCAUUGUCAGUGGUGAGAAUGAUUGGUAAUUUAAUAUGGGUAGGCCUACAAACUACAUUCGGAGAGAAUGUGUGAAGAACGAGUUUAGCCUAUAACCAACAGCGCAGUGACAUUUUCAAAACAUCUCUUGGCUAUAUUGUGUGUGUGGUUUUCAAAAAUGACAGGUAACUGACACUAAUGCACCCUCUAUGGAGCGUUCUCCGAGGGGAACUAAAGUAAAUGGGGAUGCACUUAAUGAAGCUCCACUUGCCCUCUGAGUCGCCAGCACAGUAUGCAGCAGCGAAGUUUGGAUCAAACUUCAGGAGUUCUGUGCGUCGUCAAAUGUUGUAGUCUAUCAACACAAACCGAAUCAUUGAUACUCGGGAUAUUGGUUUGAUUAGACCUUUAGGGUGAUAUGGGCGAAUGUAUUUCAUAUAGGCUUACUUAAACUACUAUUUUGGGGACUUUAAAUAUUUAGGCCUAAGUCCAAAACUAGCCUACUUUCAUAAACUUCUAUUAUUUCAUCCGUGGAGGAAUUUCGCCAAGAUAAAAUGAGAGCUGCCAGAGGUCGGCCUAUAUUCAUGCUGUCACUGGUUGCCAUUGUCCGGGUUUGAGCGAUAGGAGACGCCGCCGCCUAUACCAUCCUCCCCGCAUAGCUCAAUGCUCCACAUGCCGGCGUAAUGAGGGUUCCUGAGGGGCCCUCCCGGGUAAGGAGGUGAGGUAACCCUGCCACGGACAGCCAGCCGCACGCUCCAACACCUCCAUUCGCCCGCUCCCCCGGGCCGCGCCUGCCGAAGCCCUUUCACCGAGAGUUCACGUCCAGCGCGCAAGUUUUGACAACGAUAAUGAUGCGCUCAGUGAGAACGAUAAAGGAGGAGGUUGGGUGUAUAUUUUAAUGUUUGAGAGAAUGUAGGGAAAUGACGGAAUGCUAUGUACCCACUUGUACCAGGACCAAUUUGCAGCGAGCAUGCUAUGCCUAUGUGCCUGAAUUCAGCUAAGCUCGAUUCAUGAAUCCCACGCCACAAAUCUUACGUUGCCUUACCUCUUAAAUAAUUACCGUGCAAUUAGUCAUAUUGCUCAAGGCAAGGGUGCAAGUAUUCUGUAGGACAAUACGAGGGCACUGAUCACCAAUUAACUCAUAUGAUGUGACCCCACACACCUCUAUCCAGGUAGCCUAUGCUUAACAGAUCCCUCCUGUCUCUGUAAAUACUAUUUAAUGCCUACUCUAACUGCCUGUCUAUAGCCUAAAUCGAAUCCAACCCAAAUUGACUACUUAGACUCUUUGCACAUAUUUUUAAAAAAACCCACAUCAAAUGACUUAUAACCAACCACCUCUAAACUAAGACUGUCUGGUUGAGGAUGUGCUCUGCUUGCUAUGAUGCCUUGCCACCAAGAUCGGUGGGGUUCGUUAGCAAGAUCUGCUGUCAUUUACCAUCGCUAGUGUCAGGGAAGGGCCAAAAGGUGCCGGUCCCUAAUGGGGAUGGCCUAAUUACACUAUUAGUCUUCUGAUUGGGACAGUCCACUCCUAUGUGACCUGAGGGACCAACUGAGACACAGCAUUAGGGCCAUCAUCAUCUUGAUAGGACACCCUGGACCCACUCCAAUUCGCAUACCGGCCCAACAGAUCCACAGAUGACACGAUCUCUAAUGCGCUCCACACUGCCCUAUCCCAUCAGGACAAAAGGAACACCUAUGUGAGAAUUCUGUUAAUUGACUACAGCUUAGCGUUCAACACCAGAGUGCCCUCCAAGGUCAUCACUAAGCUAAGGACCCUGGGAUUAAACAUCUCCCUCUGCAACUGGAUCCUGGAUUUUCUGAUGGGCUGCCCCCAGGUUGUGAGGGUUGGCAACAACACAUCCGCCACGCUGACUCUCAACACGGGAGCUCCUCAGGGGUGCGUGCUUAGUCCCUUCCUGUACUCCCUGUUAACCAAUGACUGCGUGGCCGCACACAACUCCAACACCAUCAUUAAUACGGUGGUAGGCCUGAUCACCGACGACAAUGAGAGUCUACAGGGAGGAAGUCAGGACAAAAACCUCUCCAUCAACGUCAGCAAGACAAAGGAGCUGAUCGUGGACUACAGGAAAUGGAGGGCCGAGCACACACCAUCCACAUCGAUGGGGCUGCAGUAGAGUAGGUCGCGAGCUUCAAGUUCCUCGGUGUCCACAUCACUAAGGAAUUCUCAUGGUCCACACACACCAACACAAUCGUGAAGAGGGCACGACAAUGCCUCUUUCCCUUCAGGAGGCUGAAAAGAUUUGGCUUGGGGCCUCAGAGCCUCAAGAAGUUAUACAUCUGCACCAUUGAGAGCAUCUUGACUGGCUGCAUCACCGCCUGGAGGGUAGUGUGUGUGUGUGGCCCAGUACAUCUAUGGGGCCUAGCUCCCUGCAAUCCAGGAAUUAUCAGACUCCAGUCACCCAAGUCAUAGACUGUUCUCUCUGCUACCGCAUGGCUAGCAGCACUGAUGCGUUGUCUUGGCUGUGUGCUUAGGGUUGUUGUCCUAUUGGAUGGUGAACCUUCGCCCCAGUCUGAGGCCCUGAGUGCUCUGGAACUGGUUUUCAUGUUUUCCUUCAUCCUGACUAGUCUCCCAGUCUGAAAAACAUUCCUGCAGCAUGAUGCUGCCAACACCAUGCUUCACCGUAGGAAUGGUUCCAGGUUUCCUCCAGACAUGACACCUGGCAUUCAGGCCAAAGAGUUAAUUCUUGGUUUCAUCAGACCACCAAAUCUUGUUUCUCAUUGUCUGAGAGUCCUUUAGGUGCCUUUUGUCAAACUCCAAGCAGGCUGUCAUGUGCUUUUUACUGAAGAGUGGCUUCCAUCUGGCCACUCUACCAUAAAGACCUGAUUGGUGGAGUGCUGCAGAGAUGGAUGUCCUUUCGGAAGUUUCUGCCAUGUCCACAGAGGAACUCUGGAGUUCUGUCAGAGUGACCACUGGGUUCUUGGUCACAUCCCUGACCAAGGCCCUUCUCCCCAUAUUGCGCAGUUGGUCCGGGUGGCCAGCUCUAGGAAGAGUCUUGGUGUUUCCAAACUUCUUACAUUUAAGAAUGAUGAGAGGCAACUGUGUUCUUGGGGACCUUCAAUGCUGCAGACAUUUUUUGGUACCCUUCCUCAGAUCUGUGCCUCGACACAAUCCUGUCUCAGGGCUCUAUGGACAAUUCCUUCAACCUCAUGGCUUGGUUUUUGCUCUGACAUGCACUGUCAACUGUGGGACCUUAUAUAAACAGCCUUUCCAAAUCAUGUCCAAUCAAUUGAAUUUACCACAGGUGGACUCCAAUCAAGUUGUAGACAAAUUUCAAGUAUCAUAUCAAAGGGUCUGAAUACUUCUGUAAAUAAGGUUUUUCAGUUUUUUAUUUUGAAUACAUUUGCAUUUUUUUUUUAUCUUUGUCAUUAUGGGGUAUUGUGUGUAGUAUUCAGUAAAUUUCAUAAUAAAGCUGUAUCGUAACAAAAUGUGGAAGUCAAGAGGUCUGAAUACUUUCCGAAUGCACUUUAUAGCCAAAUUAUUGUUACUCAUUGUGUAUUUUAUUCCCUGUAAUUAUUUUUAUAAUUGUUCUAUUUAUUUUUAUUUUUCUCUGCGUUGUUGGGAAGGGCCUGUAAGUAAGGAUUUCACUGUCUACACCUGUUGUUUUCAAAGCAUGUGACAAAUACGAUUUAAUAUAAUUUAAUUUGAUUUCAUUUGGCAGAUGUAAGUUGUUCAUAUCACAUUUUCAAUUUGGUAGCUUAAACAAUCUCUGAGAAAUUGACAAAAAUGCUAAAAGGGUUACAGCCAUCCCUGGUCUCCCCAAUGGAGUAAAUAGCUAAUGGUAAAUUUGCUAGACAUUCCUGUCACGUUCCUGACCUAUUUAUGUUAGUUUUUGUGUGUUAUUUGGUCAGGACGUGAGGUUGGGUGGGCAUUCUAUGUUAUCUGUUUCUAUGUUGGUUUCGGUUUGCCUGGUAUGGCUCUUGAUUAGAGGCAGGUGGUUUGCGUUUGCCUCUAAUUAAGAGUCAUAUUUAGGUAGGGCAUUCUCACUGUUUGUUUGUGGGUGAUUGUCUCCUGUGUCAGUAUGUUUGUUCGUACCACACUGGACUGUAGCGUUUGUUUGUUUCGUUUUCGUUUCGAUGUCGUCUGUUUCCUGUACGUAAGUUUAUGUUUAGUUAUAUAAGUUUAUGUUCAGGUUUCGUCAACGUCGUUUUGUUAUUUUGUAGUUUGGAAAGUGUUUGUUUCGUUUCGUGUUUGCCAUCAUCGUUGUUAUAAUAAAGAUGGCUUAUUUCCCUGA